AUACGGAGGAUGCAAGCGUUAUCCGGAUUUAUUGGGUUUAAAGGGUGCGUAGGCGGGACUGUAAGUCAGGGGUGAAAUACUGCAGCUUAACUGUAGCAUUGCCUUUGAAACUGCCGUUCUUGAGUACAGUUGAGGUAGGCGGAAUGUGGAGUGUAGCGGUGAAAUGCAUAGAUAUACCACAGAACGCCGAUUGCGAAGGCAGCUUACUAAGCUGUUACUGACGCUGAGGCACGAAAGCGUGGGGAUCAAACAGGAUUAGAUACCCUGGUAGUCCACGCUGUAAACGAUGAUUACUGGUUGUUAGCGAUAUAUAGCUAGUGACUGAGCGAAAGCAUUAAGUAAUCCACCUGGGGAGUACGUCGGCAACGAUGAAACUCAAAUGAAUUGGCGGGG
rnacentral:rRNA from 1 species